rnacentral:rRNA from 1 species
AUGGAGCCUCUUAGCGAGGAAGAAUCCAAGACUUUAUUUCAUGAGGAGGCAAAAAGGCCCGCUGAAAAUGAGUUGUUGAAAAUGUGUGGCGGCAUGCCAUUGGCAAUAAUUAUUGCAGCUGGCAGGAAAUCUGCAGGACUAGCUGAGCCAGAGAUUCAUGAGAGACAAUAUUAUACCAUCAAGAAAGACCGUUUGAUACGGCUAUGGAUCGCCGAGGGAUUUUUCUUAGGAAGACAUGAAGAAAACUUGUGGAGAAGAGGAGAAAGCUAUUUCAAUGAGCUCAUCUGUAGGCGGCUGAUUCAGCCAGUGUUUGGCUACGAAGAUGGCCAGGCUGUAGGAUGUGUGGUGCAUGGUGUGAUCCUUGACUUCAUCAAAACUUUGUCUAGGGAAGACAACUUUGCGACAACGGGUGCAGAUAUGAGGUCCGGACUAGUUCCAUGGUACCCGAUUCGACGAUUCUCGUUUGAUUGCUGCAGUAAGGAAGAUGAAGCCGACACGCUGGCCUUAGGAACCUGGCGCCUAUCUAGCAUGCGAAGCCUCCAAGUUUGCCGGCGUGUUGGAUGGACAACCCUCCCCACAUAUCCUAAGCUGGAGCACUUGGAGACGCUGGAUGUCAGGCACAUGAACCUGAGAAAUCUGCCUGCAUCUAUAGUUGGAUUGGAAAGGAUGGUAUGCCUAUUGAUUGAAGAUGUUGUGGAGAUGCUGAGUUAUAUCCCUAUAAUUAAAGGACUACGAGAAGUAUCAACGAUCCGUGUCGACGACAUCGAGUCACUCCAUAAGGUGGUAGAGCUGCUGGUUCAGUCGGAGAGGUUGAGGGUCCUUGGCUUGAGCUUUGACGGGUUAGACCCAUUUGUGGACAGUGCACGUGCCAUUCUCGAUUUCCUAAGGGCGGUUGGACACUCUAACCUUCAAUCCCUAUCUCUGCAUUGUCUUGAUGGUGACUUGGUUGGCCAACUGGACUUGUGUCCGUACCAGUUGCCAAGAUUUGAGCUGGCCAUAUCUGGUGCAAUCUUGGGAAGUACUGCAUUUUGUAUGGCCCCCUGUGUUGCCCACUUGAAUAUUGAAAUUAGUCAAUUGGGAGAGCAAGGUCUGAGUAUCAUCGCGUCCGUGCCCCAUCUUAUCCUUCUCAAGUUAGUAUCUACAGGACCUGUCGCUGCCAUGACGGACACGCACUCAUCUUCCAGAAGACAAAGAAGAAGGGUGAUAAUUUGCAGUGGAGCCUUUCCGUGUCUUAAGGUGUUCUGGUUCACAUGCAAGGCUGGUGGGAAUGAGCUGCAGUUUGAUCGAGGAGCCAUGCCACGGCUGCGGGGUCUUAGGCUCCACUUCAACGCUCUAGAGACGUUGUCUCUUUAUGGAGAUUUUGAAUUUGGCAUUGAGAAUCUCUCUAGCCUCACCAGAAUCCAUGCGGCUAUUGGAUGUGAAGAUGCUACGGCUCCAGAGGUGGAGCUUGCAGAGACUGCCAUCACAGAGCAAGUCUGUCGGAUCUCCUCCGCCAACACACCAACAAUAGAGUUCAGCAGAGAGAAUCCCAGGAUGUUUGAGGGGGGAAAGAAGAGUAUAGGUCCCCUUACAGAGACGGUAACCACGAUCACCAAGAAAAAGAGCUUGAGCAGAUGGUUGAUCGCCCAGUACAAAAUGAUGCAGCGUGCCUUGUGCUCUUGCAGUUGCGCAGGUUGA